UUAGGAAUUGAUUCAUCAUCCUCCUCUAAUAUCUUUACACUACUAUUGUAAGUGAUUGGAACUGUGAAAUGUUUUCGUUUCUGUUGUGGACGAGUGUGGCAGUGUAGCCAGUCCCUUGUUUUGUUUUUCUCUCACUUUGAGUAGUGGAGCGCUGCCCUGAAUCUUUCGUCUGCAUUUUGGUAACACUAGCAACACAUGUAAGAAUCACGAAUGCUUUCGUGUGAGGUGUCUUCAACCUGUCCACUCUUCAUUUUGGCUAUUUUACCAAAUAUUAAUACAAAUGAUUAUCUAUCCCUUGCAAGAAUAAGUGUAUGUUGUAUGUACCGCCAUGUCACUCUACUGUCCCAUGGCGCCUCCCCUUCAUCAGUCAGCUUUGAGAAAGUUUCCUCUGGAUAAAAUCUGUAUACGUAAUUAUGGCACUUUACUUGUUUAUGUAACAUAAUCUGCAGUGUCCUUAUAGGUUAUUAAGCAUCUUUUAAGAUUAUACAGAGUAUAACCUGUAUGCUUGUGACACCCUUGCUUUGUCAAUUACUGUAAACACGGUGCCAAUGAGUUAGUGCUUAGAGCUCCUUUGUGUUACUUUUCUGAUGUUAUGUAAUCAUAACUAAUUUAGGUAGACAUUGAUUUUCUCUCAAAGUCCUAAAUUAAGCUUAAAUUAAUAUGAAUUCCCUCUUUUCUAAGAGUAUCGAAAACUACACAGUUGUUCUGCUGCAACAAGGUAAGUAUUAAUCCACUUCCCAUCAACACUUAGAAAUAUACUGUUCUAAAUUAUAACACCACCAAGCUCAAAUAACUAAUAAUUUAGUUAUUUUAAUUGAAAAUCCAUAAGCAAUACCUAUGACACAUCUGUUCCUUCCCGAUAGACUGCCAUUGCCUAUUGCUUCCACAGGAUCUACCUGAAGGGCAGAGGAUUAAGCAGCCGCCAUCUUGGCCACAUGGAACUAUACUGAUCCGGGAACUGAGAAAGGAAUGAGCCCGGAUGGACACCAGGCUUCUACCUAGCCGACUAAUAAUAGGGACUGCAAUGGAAGGAACCUCCUUAGACGAUCACCAGUCAUCACAGGGAUCACUUGUCUCACCAGGCAGCCUCCUUCCCCACUCCACUUCUCGAGACAACAAUGCAUGUUAUUUUACUUUCCAAUGUGUGCCCUCCAUCACUGUCGCCAUUGAAGAAGGAUGAAUCCAAUUAUACGGUAUAUAAGAUGAUCUAUCGCGUUUGCGUGCCUUGUUAGGGGAAAGGGACUCUGGUAAUGUGUGUCUCAGGGAUUAUAAAACCUUCGCCGUUCUUUUUCAUCAAGACCGAACAUUUUUGGCCUUCCAAGUUCUACAGUAGUGAGUAUAGCCUUGCUGCAUUCUUCUUACUUACGAAUCCAAGUGUUCUUUAACAUCCCUCAGGUGUAAUCCAGAGUAACUGUAGUAAAGUAGUAAAAUAUAUGUAAAUAAGCUAAACCUCUGAGUUUACCUCAAUUCCUUAAUUCUGAAGUCGGCCCUAAGCCGUUAUUUUUCAUUUUUCAUUUAUGUUAUGGUUCCUAUAGGAAAUUUAGCCUUUAAAUAAUCGCAUCUCAGAUCUGCUGCAAUUGCUGAGGAACCGCAAACGUAAUAAUGGGGAAUUUUUACUAGAAUCGUGUUAAAAUCAUGCAUUAUUCCUUGCAAUAACGAUUAUCAGCUAGUAACGAUUGCUAAAACUGAUAUUACAAGAGAAAACAAACCGGUA